GGUUGAUCCCGCCGGAGGUCACUGCUAUUGGGAUUCGACUAAGCCAUGCGAGUCGCGAGGGUUCGGCCCUCGGCUGACGGCUCAGUAACACGCGGAUAAUCUGCCCUUAGGUGGAGGAUAAUCUCGGGAAACUGAGAAUAAUAUUCCAUAGAUUUAGGAUGCUGGAAUGCACUUAAAUUAAAAGCUUCGGCGCCUAAGGAUGAGUCUGCGGACUAUCAGGUUGUAGUCAGGGUAACGACCUGACUAGCCUACGACGGAUACGGGUUGUGAGAGCAAUAACCCGGAGAUGAUAUCUGAGACACGAUAUCAGGCCCUACGGGGCGCAGCAGGCGCGAAAACUUCGCAAUGUGCGAAAGCACGACGAGGGAAUCCCAAGUGCUGGCUCGUUAGAGUCAGCUGUNUUUAUGUCUAAAAAGCAUAGAGAGUAAGGGCUGGGUAAGACGGGUGCCAGCAGUCGCGGUAA
rnacentral:rRNA from 1 species